CACGUAGGGUGCGAGCGUUGUCCGGAAUUAUUGGGCGUAAAGGGCUCGUAGGCGGUCUGUCACGUCGGGAGUGAAAACUCGGGGCUUAACCCCGAGCCUGCUUCCGAUACGGGCAGACUAGAGGUAUGCAGGGGAGAAUGGAAUUCCUGGUGUAGCGGUGAAAUGCGUAGAUAUCGUAAGGAAGACCAGUGGCGAAGGCGGGUCUCUGGACAGUUCCUGACGCUGAGGCACGAAGGUCAGGGGAGCAAACGGG
rnacentral:rRNA from 1 species